rnacentral:sRNA from 1 species
GUGACUGUCGUAAAUACAAUCGAUUCAAAAGUAAUUGCCAAUUCCAACGAGGAUGUGAUUAUCAACAAGCGCAAAAUGCGCAAAAUCUUUGU